UUUCACCUGUAGCAAAAUUUCACUGGAAAAAGUCAUAGCACCAACCUUGUUUUACUCCAAUCCAAUCGGAUAAUACCCAGAAUUAGAGCAUUAACAUUCCAAUUUUACCUCAUAAUGUUGGGAUCUCCAAUCACGUGUCUACCUCUAUACCAUCACCAUUACAAUGCAAUUUACACCAUCAUUACAGGAAAAGCCAAAUUCAUCUGUUAUAAUCUGAUAUAAAUCAGUUUUUGUUUUGACACAACAAAGACUUUGUUUAAUAUUUCCAUGUGUCUCAGGUGAUCCACGCAUAACCACUGCUGCUUUCUUUUCUUGUUCUUUCUGGCCAGUGGCCACCCCAAGUAUAUACUUGAAAAGUUUUCCCAGAAGAAGGAAGAAUCAAAAGAAUGGCGUUCACUGGAACUCUUGAUAAGUGCAAGGCUUGUGACAAGACUGUUUAUGUUGUUGAUAUGUUGUCUCUUGAAGGAGUGCCUUAUCAUAAAUACUGCUUCAAAUGCAGCCACUGCAAAGGAACUCUUGUGAUGAGCAACUAUUCCUCCAUGGAUGGAGUCCUCUACUGCAAGCCGCAUUUUGAGCAACUUUUCAAGGAAUCUGGCAAUUUCAGCAAGAAUUUUCAAGCAGGCAAGACUGAGAAACAAAAUGACGCGGUAUAUUCAUGUUCCCUCUGGUUUUAUAUGCUUAGGCUGGAUUAAUUUGGAAGUCCCGCCAAAGUAAAAUAUAACCCAAUCUGACUUAAAUGAUAGAAUUUGAAAACCAUUUUGAUGGAUGAGAUUUUCUAGGAUUCUCUGGUUUUAUCUAUCUGUUUCAUUACUGUUAAAACAUUGAAUGUUGGCAUCUUUUGCAGUCUAAGGUCCCCAGCAAAGUCUCUUCCUUGUUCUCUGGAACCCAAGACAAGUGUUCUGCUUGUAGCAAAACAGUGUAUCCGCUGGAGAAGGUUGGUUUGCAAUUCUAAAUUUUAAUUACAAUUUUCAUGCUGACGUUUUGUAAGGAUCUUUGUCCAGAAAUAUGCAUAUAAUUUGCUUCCCCGUUCCAAGUAAGAGCAGUACUACUUGAAUUAAUCUCAAAUGGGUGUCAUGGAUUAGCAAUCCAGGCCUUUUCCUUAAAAAAGAAGGCACUGUUUCGUUCAUUAAAAUUUUAGUCGGCGGUCAAUUCCAUUUCUGGGAAACCAAUUCAAGCAAAGUAGAAAGGUUUAGGUAAAAUGAAUAUCUGUUGGAAAGCCAUUUUCAGUAAAAGCAACCUUAUGAUCACUUGGAAUAUUGUUGUUGAUGCAGGUGACUCUGGAGGGAGAAUGUUUUCACAAGUCAUGCUUCAGGUGUGCACAUGGAGGAUGUCCUCUCACACACUCAUCUUAUGCUGCCCUUGAUGGAGUCCUCUACUGCAAGCACCACUUUGCUCAGCUGUUCAUGGAGAAAGGGAGCUAUUCCCAUGUUCUCCAGGCUGCUUCCCACAAGAGAACUGCUUCCUCCACACCACCUCCUGAGCUGGCUGAGCCAGAAGCAGAAGGAGAAGGUGCAGCUGCUGGAGACAACUAAGAAGAGCACUCUUAAACGAAGAAAAACCAUGGUUUCUUUCUUGCAUCAUUACUUUCUCAUCUAAAAGUUUGAUUUUGAUGUGGCAGAUGCCAUCAUCAUGUUGAAGAUUGUUGUCUAAUUGUUCACAAUUUUGAUCUCGGAUUUGUUUAUUUAUGUUAUUCAUGCGAAUCACUUGGUUCAAUAUAUUGAAUUUUGUACUAGUUUUGCCAAAUUCUUGUUCUCAUUUUCAUUUCUAUUUUCUUCAAGAAAAAAAG
rnacentral:misc_RNA from 1 species